rnacentral:rRNA from 1 species
AAUACAACUUUCAGCAACGGAUCUCUUGGCUCUCGCAUCGAUGAAGAACGCAGCGAAAUGCGAUAAGUAAUGUGAAUUGCAGAAUUCAGUGAAUCAUCGAAUCUUUGAACGCACCUUGCGCUCCUUGGUAUUCCGAGGAGCAUGCCUGUUUGAGUGU